GAUGAACGCUGGCGGCGUGCCUAAUACAUGCAAGUCGAGCGAACAGACGAGGAGCUUGCUCCUCUGACGUUAGCGGCGGACGGGUGAGUAACACGUGGAUAACCUACCUAUAAGACUGGGAUAACUUCGGGAAACCGGAUCUAAUACCGGAUAAUAUAUUGAACCGCAUGGUUCAAUAGUGAAAGACGGUUUUGCUGUCACUUAUAGAUGAAUCAGCGCCGCAUUAGCUAGUUGGUAAGGUAACGGCUUACCAAGGCAACGAUGCGUAGCCGACCUGAGAGGGUGAUCGGCCACACUGGAACUGAGACACGGGCCAGACACCUACGGGAGGCAGCAGUAGGGAAUCCUCCGCAAUGGGCGAAAGCCUGACGGAGCAACGCCGCGUGAGUGAUGAAGGUCUUCGGAUCGUAAAACUCUGUUAUUAGGGAAGAACAAAUGUGUAAGUAACUAUGCACGUCUUGACGGUACCUAAUCAGAAAGCCACGGCUAACUACGUG
rnacentral:rRNA from 1 species